rnacentral:sRNA from 1 species
AGUUCUUCAAUGCGUAGUGGAUUCCCGCGUCGCCGUCUUAUACCAGGGUCCAGGGAGUUGCUUCACUUCGGUUGGAGUUCAUCGUGUGUCGGCGAGAGCGUCGUCAUUGCUUUGGAGUCACCAGGGUCGUCGCUUCUGUGGGUCGUCUCGCCAGGGAAAGGAGGCAUCUUGUGGGCGCCGGGCCAAGAUGCUUUGCUUAGGGCCGACGCUCGUAAGUGUCCAUGGAAUUGGAUGCAGAAAAUUGGAUUAGAUAAGUAUAUCUAUAUGUUUAGUUUUGUUUUGUCUGAUUUUUGUUUUGUCUUUUCUUUUGCAGGUCCAAUUCGUCCAGGAUUUUUCAGAUUUGUCCGGUGGGAUAUGGGUAGGAAAGCAUUGCCUUGGAUUUAUAUAGAGCAUCGUCGGAGUUUAUUUUGCUCUUUUUCAGGGAUGUUGUCAGUAUAUCGUUGCUACCAGGAAAAGGUGGAAUUUAAGGGUCAAGAUUUUGACCUUUUGCCGGGUCAGCAGCGCCGCACUUGGAAUUCGUAAGGACGAGAAGGCUUCCCAACUUGGAAACGGCAUCAAAAUAUUUUAGGUUUUUAAUGUUUUAUGUGCCGAAAUCGUCGUUUUUCAUUUCGCCGAGUCGGGAAAAGGGAUUUUGUCUGUAAGCCGUUGCUGCCAGAAAAAAGUCGAUUUCAAGGGUCGCGAAAUUGACCUUUUGCCGGGUCAGCAGCGGCGCACCUAGGGUUAAGAAGGACGAGGAUGCACCCCAACAUGGAGACGGCAUCCAAACAUUAUAGGAUUUUAAUGUUUUGGGUGCCAAAAGCUUCGUUAUUCGUUGCGCCUAGUAGGGAAGUAGUUGGUUGCGUAGUUUUAUACUUUUAUUAAUAUGUUAUUCUUUUUCAGGGAUAUGGUCAGUGUUAUCGUUGCUACCAGAAAAAGUCGAAAUUCAAGGGUCACGAUUUUGACCUUUUGCCGGGUCGGCAGCGCCGCACCGAGGGUCAGUAAAAUCGAAGGGGCUUCCUGAAAUAGGGACGGCAUCAAAACAUUGUGGAUUUUUAUAUAUAUUAUUAUAUAGUGCUCUGUUUUAUGUUUUGAUUAAAGUAUUUCAAUCUUUAACGGA